ACUCAAAGGAAUUGACGGGGGAGCGCACAACCGGUGGAGCAUGUGGUUUAAUUCGAUACAAAGCGAAAAACCUUACCCAGGUUUGACAUGUACCUGCACGGCUAUGGAAACAUAGCCUUCUUCGAGAGUGGUACACAGGUGAUGCAUGGCUGUCGUCAGCUCGUGUCGUGAGACGUCCGCUUAAGUGCGGUAACGAGCGCAACCCCUACCGCCAGUUAUAAGUGUCUGUCGGGACUGCCCUCGUAUCUCGGGGGAGGAAGGAGGGGAUGACGUCAAGUCAGCACGUCCCUUACAUCUGGGGCAACACACAUCCUACAAUGGAAUUGACAACGGGUAGCAAGAGGGCAACCUUGAGCUAAUCCUAAAACUAUUCCUCAGUUCAGAUUGAGGGCUGCAACUCGCCCUCAUGAAGCCGGAAUCGGUAGUAAUCGCAAAUCAGCAGGUUGCGGUGAAUACGUUCUCGCUCCUUGUACACACCGCCCGU
rnacentral:rRNA from 1 species